rnacentral:rRNA from 1 species
GACUACAGGGGUAUCUAAUCCUGUUUGCUCCCCACGCUUUCGCGCCUCAGCGUCAGUAACGGGCCAGUGUGUCGCCUUCGCCACUGGUGUUCUUCCGAAUAUCUACGAAUUUCACCUCUACACUCGGAGUUCCACACACCUCUCCCGUACUCAAGAUGUCCAGUAUCAAAGGCAGUUCCAAGGUUGAGCCCUGGGCUUUUACCUCUGACUUAAACAUCCGCCUACGCGCCCUUUACGCCCAGUAAUUCCGAGCAACGCUAGCCCCCUUCGUAUUACCGCGGCUGCUGGCACGAAGUUAGCCGGGGCUUCUUCUGCGGGUACCGUCAUUAUCGUCCCCGCUGAAAGAAUUUUACAAUCCUAAGACCUUCAUCAUUCACGCGGCAUGGCUGCGUCAGGGUUUCCCCCAUUGCGCAAGAUUCCUCACUGCAGCCCCCCGUAGG